UGGUGGCACCUCACGUUUCUCUAGUGCAAUAGUCUGGUGUAAGUAAAUAAGUCAAGUUCCUUCGUGGAUCGGGAAGUACUGCUUCAAGAUGUCACACGGCCGGAGCUGGAAACAGAACUCGCACCUCAUUGUUCCUGGGUCGGGGAUGCGGACAAGGGUCGAGGAGAGAAGGUCCACUGCACGCCUGUGACGGCCUCCAAUGGACAGGAACUGGGUGGUCAACACAAUCCCGCUGCCCCACGAACCUCAUUUUAGCACUGGCCGCGGACCAGUGUGCGCUCCAGUCGGUGGGAGGAUAACCAUGCUGGGUGUCCCCGUCAUAUCAGCCUCGGGACAGUAAGGACGUCACAGGUAAGUCACGUUUCUUGGCUCAGAGCCGCCAGCCAGGUCAGUUCCUGGGACACCGCUCUCCCACGUCUCGCUUGCAGUGGGCCCUGCUGGCCAAUACCCCCGGGCGCCCCUGGGUCUGCUGGUGGCCCUGCCUCCUCCGCGCAUCCCGGCUCCCAGACUGACGCUCCCCAGCCCCGCGCUCACACCGCCACCCCCACCGGCAUCGGGGCCUGCAGACACUUUAAAACAGAGUAGAAAGUAAAAGCUCUCCAGUUCCAGACUGAGGAACUGGUGCCUCGCUGAGCACCACACCUCAGGGGGAUGGCUUGGAUGGCAGCGCAGAGGACGGGAACCACAGGAAGCCACGUCCAUGCCCGGCGAGCCCAGCUCAGACAUAAAAGUGAGUGAGCACAAUUCUUCCUGGUGACUAAGAAGCUGACAAGCACGUGGAGCGCACAGAGCCGAGGACCCGGGGAUGCUUCACAAUAAUCAUAAAGGCAAAUACAUACCAAUGAUUUUUAUGUGUCAAGCGCUGCUGUGAGAACUUUCAUCUAUUAAAAUUUUUAGUCCUCACCAUGAUUUGAUGCCCUUGGGUAUUACUCCUAUGCCAUUUACAAAGUUACAGCGUUUAUGAUUCCAGGAGGAAAUGGAACAGAGCAGUCAAAGAAAAAAAGAGCAAUUGCUAAAGGCUCAGAGACUCCCAGCUGACUGUUUGCAAAGCUCCCCUGGAGUUUCCCAGCGUCCACCAAUCCCGGAGCCCAGGCUUCCCAGGUGCUCUCAUCAGCAUCACCCGCUGGCGGCCGUUACUGCAAGUUAAAGAGCGACACUUCAGGAGCUCUGCUGCCAGGUCAUAAAGCAGCAAGGAGAGGACUGGCAUUCGCCGGUGACAUCGGCAGAUUUAUGGUUUGAAUUUACACCCAUCAGACAUGGGACACAUUUUUAGCCACGCACAUCAAGCUUAUUGCUCCCCAAACCUUGAGUCUCGCUGCCCACACCACUGGACUCGAUUCCCCUCGCCAGCAAUAGCCUCCCCGUGCAGCUGCCUUGGCAGGUGAGCUUUGAUGUGAGCUUGUGAAGCAGAGGUGUGGAAAGGAGCCCCCCAAGAGAACCAGGUGAUGUGGGAAAACGCCACUGAGCCCCACUUCCACGUGGAGUCUCUUCCAAAGGUCAGUCUCAGCAGUCAAGCACCUGGAUAGUCUUUCUUUUGCUGGUCUCUGAGACUGUCACCCUCUUGCCAAAUAAUGUUUAGGACAGUAACUGUAGACCCCCUUAAGGUCAACCUUUCUCCCCUGUCAUCUUUUUUUUUUUUUGACAUUCUAUACCAGUCUAGAGGGAAAAUAAGAUAUCAACACACAGAAAAGGUUAAAAUGUGUCCCCAGUUAACUGCACUGUCUGCCUAUAAGAUGAUACCACACAGUUGUGCUUUGUUCUGAACAGAACUUGUCUGGCUACCAAAGGUGAGAAAGAGGAACACAGUGCAAGGGCAUUAUGGGAAAAUCCAUUCUGCCUCGUUCUCCCAUCUCCUGGGAACCCUCCCAAAUUCUCCUGAACUGCGACAAACCCUAGCCCUUUGGGAUGGAGAACCACCUGCUCAGAGGCCAUCAAUGGCCCCACAAGGGCAGCUGGAGGUACGUUGAGGAAACCAAGCCCCAGUGUUUGUGCUUUGGGUCCCGAUGCCUGGGUCACAUCACAUAAUAAGAUGCCCACUCCCUCCCACUGCACUGGGGCAGGGUGGAGCUUAGGGCUCACCCUGGAAAUGUGAUCACAUGUUUCUAGCUAGCAAGUCCAUAAAAUGCAAGCAAGUUGCACAUAAAGGCAGUUUGAAAAACCGCACCAAAAUAUCUCUUCCCAGAAGAUAUACAUGACUGGAAAAACCUGGACCAAAAGUCAUUGGGUCUAACCUGACCACUUACUGUGUGACCUUGGGCCAGCUUCUUAACUUCUCUGUAUCCAUUUCCCAGAGCAAAAAUGAGCUUAUGUAAAUAACAGUGUUCUGUGCACUUAAGCAUCAGGCAAAUUAAAAGCAUUUAUAGAAGAAACACCAGUUAAAGGACCAGGUCAUUAGCCCCUGUCUCUGUGCUCCAAGUGCUGCGUAUCACCGCAGGCCCCUGGGACGCUGCCCAGUCACUAAGCGUCUCUGCCUUUCCAUUCACUUGCCCCCACGUAGAAGCUGCCAUGCCUUGGACCAAACCACAGGAGCACCUGAUGCUGCCCGCAUUUCCAGGCACACAGACACAUGUGACUUUCGAAGGGAGGGAAGGAGAAUGACCACUUUGUGGAUAAAGCCAUUCACAACGUGCGCUUGUGGUAAGCUUGACUGCUGAGACUGACUCCUGCAACCCCAGGCGUCCCUAAGCAACAGCCUGCAAGCUCGCUUCAUCUGCAAGCUCACGCUCAUUCCAUUCACAUCACAUAAUAAGAGUAAAAUUCCUCACAAGCACUUCUCUGGAGAAAACGAUGGUCAAGCUGUCCUUGAUCUGGCUGUGAGUUCCAGCCGCUGUUGUUGCCUCAGUUAGAGGUACUUUCGGGGGAAGAACACAGUUCUUACAGAGGCACUGAAAACACGCAUCUGUGCGCAGACUGUCCAACCCCUCUGGGCAUCCAACCCCUUGGCCCAGAAGGGCAGCGGCCUGAGGGCAGGUGGGCACAGGGGAGGGGACAGGUGCCUCUCACCCCAUGGCAGAAUAGCUGCCACCCAGAGGCCUACACCAAACCUUCUAGAAAGGGGGCUGGGAAGCAGGAAGCCCCCCAGCAGUAUGGAGGCGCUUCCGCUGUCCACGGGCAAAGCAGAGGGCAGGGCGCUGGCCAGCACCAGGCUGAGGGGCAGUCUGCAGCAGGGGGAGAUAAACACUUUGAUACUGGGGCUGAACCUGUCGCACUUUAAUCCCUUAAUCUCCGAUGAGAACCCUUCAUGAAGGUUUUCGGAUAUCCAAGCAGCAUCAGACUGGAUCAGCUAACUUCUAUAGCAGUGUGCAAACAGACUUGGAGAAAGGAAGCCCCGGGAGGAAGGAGGCCAGAUAGGAGGCUGGGGAAGAGUUCUGCAGGCUAAUAGGGCUGGAGCCACAGGAAGGGCAGGGGCACAGGCCGGGGCAUUAUUUGGAUCCUGAGCUGCUAACCAGAACCUGCAGAAACAGACUGACAGUACCCAGCCCACCACCUGGACCCCUCACCGGAGGACCUCCGGGUCCCAAGAGCUGGUCCAGGACACGCCACUUUCCGUGUUUUAUUCACAUGUCAUCACUUAUCUUCUAAAAAGUUAAAACACAAUUCACAACAGUUUUAAUGAAACCAUAAUACGUGCUAGUGAAAAGUACAGAACUUAAUUACUGUUCCCAGUGACUGUCUCCAUCAAUAGGUGUCUUGAAAUGAAAAGUGGGUGAUUUGUAAAUAAACCUCUUGAACGAACAGAAAUUUGUAAUGGUUAAGUAUUAACAAUAUUAAUACUAAUUGACAAUGAUUUAAUUAAUAAAAAAGUUUUAAUGUGCAUACAGGUUGAGCUACAAGGCUGUGCAUAGUACACUGCUUUCUAAUUUCAAAAUUUGCAAGCACAUUACUUGUCUAAACAGAAAGGAUUUGUUGAACAAA